rnacentral:rRNA from 1 species
CACGCCGUAAACGAUGAGUGCUAGGUGCAUCGGGUAUUGACCCCUGAUGUGCCGCAGCUAACGCGUUAAGCACUCCGCCUGGGGAGUACGGUCGCAAGACUAAAACUCAAAGGAAUUGACGGGGGCCCGCACAAGCGGUGGAGCAUGUGGUUCAAUUCGACGCAACGCGCAGAACCUUACCUGGGUUAAAUCCACUAGAAUGUUUCAGAGAUGAGACGGUGCCCGCAAGGGAGCUAGUGAGACGGUGC